AGAGUUUGAUCCUGGCUCAGAUUGAACGCUGGCGGUAUGCUUAACACAUGCAAGUCGAACGGAAACGAUACUAGCUUGCUAGUAGGCGUCGAGUGGCGGACGGGUGAGUAACGCGUAGGAAUCUGCCUGAUAGUGGGGGAUAGCCCGAAGAAAUUCGGAUUAAUACCGCAUAAUCUAUUCGUAGUAAAGUGGGGGACUUUCGAGCCUCACGCUAUCAGAUGAGCCUGCGUAAGAUUAGCUAGUUGGUAGGGUAAAAGCCUACCAAGGCUACGAUCUUUAGCUGGUCUGAGAGGAUGAUCAGCCACAUCGGGACUGAGACACGGCCCGAACUCCUACGGGAGGCAGCAGUGGGGAAUAUUGGACAAUGGGGGCAACCCUGAUCCAGCAAUACCGCGUGUGUGAAGAAGGCCUGAGGGUUGUAAAGCACUUUCAAUUGUGAAGAAAAGUUAACGGUUAAUAACCGUUAGCCUUGACGUUAACUUUAGAAGAAGCACCGGCUAACUCCGUGCCAGCAGCCGCGGUAAUACGGAGGGUGCAAGCGUUAAUCGGAAUUACUGGGCGUAAAGCGUGCGUAGGCGGUUUAUUAAGUCAGAUGUGAAAGCCCCGGGCUUAACCUGGGAACUGCAUUUGAAACUGGUCAACUAGAGUAUGGUAGAGGAAAGUGGAAUUUCUGGUGUAGCGGUGAAAUGCGUAGAUAUCAGAAGGAACAUCAAUGGCGAAGGCAGCUUUCUGGACCAAUACUGACGCUGAGGUACGAAAGCGUGGGUAGCAAACAGGAUUAGAUACCCUGGUAGUCCACGCCGUAAACGAUGAUAACUAGCCGUUGGGGGGAUUUACCCUUUAGUGGCGAAGCUAACGCGUUAAGUUAUCCGCCUGGGGAGUACGGCCGCAAGGCUAAAACUCAAAGGAAUUGACGGGGACCCGCACAAGCGGUGGAGCAUGUGGUUUAAUUCGAUGCAACGCGAAGAACCUUACCUGGUCUUGACAUCCUGCGAACUUUCUAGAAAUAGAUUGGUGCCUUCGGGAACGCAGUGACAGGUGCUGCAUGGCUGUCGUCAGCUCGUGUCGUGAGAUGUUGGGUUAAGUCCCGUAACGAGCGCAACCCCUAUCCUUAUUUGCCAGCACGUCAUGGUGGGAACUAUAAGGAGACUGCCGGUGAUAAACCGGAGGAAGGCGGGGACGACGUCAAGUCAUCAUGGCCCUUACGACCAGGGCUACACACGUGCUACAAUGGGAAGGACAAAGAGCCGCGAAGCCGCGAGGUGUAGCUAAUCUCAGAAACCUUUUCGUAGUCCGGAUUGGAGUCUGCAACUCGACUCCAUGAAGUCGGAAUCGCUAGUAAUCGUAGAUCAGAAUGCUACGGUGAAUACGUUCCCGGGUCUUGUACACACCGCCCGUCAUACCAUGGGAGUGGGUUGCACCAGAAGUGGCUAGUCUAACUUAGUGAGGACGGUCACCACGGUGUGAUUCAUGACUGGGGUAAAGUCGUAACAAGGUAACC
rnacentral:rRNA from 1 species